rnacentral:ncRNA from 1 species
UUCCAGCUCUCCUAGUGUAUCUCGUUAUUGCUGCGGUUAAAAAGCUCGUAGUUGGAUCUAGGUUACGUGCCGCAGUUCGCAAUUUGCGUUAACUGUGGUCGUGACUUCUAAUUUGCUGGUUUGAGGUUGGGUUCGCCCUUCAACUGCCAGCAGGUUUACCUUGAAUAAAUCAGAGUGCUCAAUACAGGCGCUUGCUUGAAUAGCUCAUCAUGGAAUAAUGAAACAGGACUUCGGUUCUUUUUGUUGGUUCUAGAAUUGAUCUAAUGGUUAAGAGGGACAAACCGGGGGCAUUCGUAUCAUUACGCGAGAGGUGAAAUUCGUGGACCGUAGUGAGACGCCCAAUAGCGAAAGCAUUUGCCAAGAAUGUCUUCAUUAAUCAAGAACGAAAGUCAGAGGUUCGAAGGCGAUUAGAUACCGCCCUAGUUCUGACCGUAAACGAUGCCAUCUCGCGAUUCGGAGGGUUCAUGCCCUACCGAGGAGCUACCCGGAAACGAAAGUCUUUCGGUUCCGGGGGUAGUAUGGUUGCAAAGCUGAAACUUAAAGAAAUUGACGGAAGGGCACCACAAGGCGUGGAGCUUGCGGCUUAAUUUGACUCAACACGGGAAAACUCACCCGGUCCGGACACUAUUAGGACUGACAGAUUGAAAGCUCUUUCUCGAUUUGGUGGUUGGUGGUGCAUGGCCGUUCUUAGUUGGUGGAGUGAUUUGUCUGGUUUAUUCCGAUAACGAGCGAGACUCUAGCCUGCUAAAUAGUCGACGAAUCUUCGGGUUCGUAUAACUUCUUAGAGGGAUAAGCGGUGUUUAGCCGCACGAGAUUGAGCGAUAACAGGUCUGUGAUGCCCUUAGAUGUCCGGGGCUGCACGCGUGCUACACUGGUGGAGUCAGCGGGUUUUUCCUAUGCCGAAAGGUAUCGGUAAACCGUUGAACUUCUUCCAUGUCCGGGAUAGGGUAUUGUAAUUAUUACCCUUAAACGAGGAAUGCCUAGUAAGUGUGAGUCAUCAGCUCACGUUGAUUACGUCCCUGCCCUUUGUACACACCGCCCGUCGCUAUCCGGGACUGAACUGAUUCGAGAAGAGUGGGGACUGUGGCUGCGAGGUUUUACCACUUCGCAGUUGCG